UGGUUUCCAGAUGUUCAUGGUCCAAUUAUCAGCCUCCAUUUUAAACACUUAGAUGAGUUCAUUGGCAGAAUUGAAACUCCCCCACACAAGAAGAGAAUGUUUCACUUCUCCGUAGAAUCCCUAGCCAAACUCAGAGCAAAGGCCAAUGCGUAGUCUGGCACCACCAAAAUCUCUUCCUUCCAGUUUUUAUCUGCCCUUCUCUGGCGCUCCAUUACUUGACAACCACCUGAUCAAGGAACCAGCUGCAGGCAUGGUCUAUUAAUAGACCAUAUUGUGUGUGUGUGUGUGUGUGUGUAUAUGGCUCGAAACAGAAAGUUACUUGGUCCUAAUGUGUUGGUCAUUUAGCUGCAGCCAAAGUUCCGGUUAUAUCUAAAUGGGGGAAAAUUCGAAAAGCUUUCCACUCGAAAAUGUUUACAAGGAUUUGGCUAUAGGGCAAUCUCAAAUGGCUUUAUCAAAUGGGUUGGAAGUUAAAAAAGAAACAGUGGGUGCUGAAAUCAAGUCAUUUUUCGACUCAGUGGAAAGCUUAAGGGAUUUGUGAAGAAGAAUUUGAAACCUUCCAGUAUUACCUUUUGAUUUAUCGCAUUUAUAUAUGUCAUUUAUUUUUCUGGAUGAUAGAGUAAGGUUAAGUGGAUUUUGAUCGAUUUGUACCAUGUUCAUUUGUUUGUGUGUUGGUUAGUUUAUGCCCUUUUGCUUCUCAAGAAACAGAAUUCAGGUUUCUUUUCCCUUUCUUA